rnacentral:rRNA from 1 species
UAUGGGAGGCAGCAGUGAGGAAUAUUGGUCAAUGGGCGCAACCCUGAACCAGCCAUGCCGCGUGAGGGAAUAAGGCCCUACGGGUCGUAAACCUCUUUUGCCGGGGGAUAAGGACGCCCACGUGUGGGUGUUUGAAGGUACCCGGAGAAUAAGCAUCGGCUAACUCCGUGCCAGCAGCCGCGGUAAU